CUGACGGUAGUCGUAUGCUCGUCUCCGAGACUAAGCCAUGCAAGUCCAAGUACACGUCCUUGAACGACGGAAACUGCGAACGGCUCAUUAAAUCAGUUGCGAUCUACUCGGCGUUCCGCGCCGCCGGAUAACCGUAGUAAUUCUAGGGCUAAUACGUGCGAAGCGCCCGAAGCCGCGAGGCGACGGGCGUUCUCGCCGGAUGUAGGAACCGACCCGGGGACCGCCGGGGGCAACCCGGGCGCCCCCGAGACCGGGGCGAACCACGGUGAAAUGACGGAUCGUCGGCCCCGCGCCGGCGACUCGCCGAAUGAGUUUCUGACCUAUCAACUCGAGACGGCGGGGUAGAGGCCCGCCGCGGUAACGACGGGUAACGGGGAUCAGGGGUUCCGAUUCCGGAGAGGGGAGCCCGAGAAACGGCUACCACUUCC
rnacentral:rRNA from 1 species